CUGUGGAAUGUCAGCAGCAGCACAAGUAUGAAACUUUUGAGUUUAGCAAGGUGCAAGCUUAGGGAUCUUCAGUAAAUAAGAGUGGGUGACAAGAAUCAGUUGUGGAGUUCCUGUUUCCUUAACUGUGGAAAGCAGUAUCUCAUCCAUUCAUUAGAGAGUAUAAAUUUAUAGUCUGUUGAUUUGUAUAAUUAUAGGACCAAUACGUGGUAAAAUGCAUUUUUUUGCAUUCUUGUUUCAGCCACACAGGUCAUCGCUUUGUAUGAUGCUUCCUGUUUUAGAGGAAAAACCUGAUCAGGUUCUCAAAGCUGUAUCUGUUAGAACCCUGACCGGUGGAGAUAGAAUGCAGUGGAACUGAGAGAGCCCACCUCGACGUGUGCAAAGAGUACAUAAGAAUUGUUUCUUGCCCAUCCUGCAGUGGUCUAGACAACAUAGAAAAUUGACAAACUGGUGUUUAUUUCAUGGCUAUUUCAUGGCAUCUUAAGGAGAGCAUGGUUUAUAUUAAUCUCUAAGCUAAAAUUCUGAAAAGCAAAUAGGAGAGAAGCUGCUCUGUCCACCAAUUUUCUGUAGAAGCAAAGAGAAUAAGUAUACUAGAAAGGCCAAGAUGUUAAAUAUUUCAGCUGGAUUUUGGAUGCGUAGCGUUGAACAGUGCUGAGGCCCUCAACUCCAAGUAAAGUAGGUAAGAAAUGCAUACCAUUGAUCCAGGAAAAAAUCAAACAUUGGGUAUCUCAAAUUAGGCUCUCAAAAAUUGCUGUGUCCAUUUGAAUUAUAUGGGUCUAUUAAAAUUUUAAAAAGGUUACAUUUUUCUUGUUUCUUUCCACUUUUGAAGCAAUGUGAUAACAGCCACCUGUCAAAAGGCAGGUUGCAUGCUUUGAGGUUCUUGUAGAGCAGUAACACAUCUAUUAAAACCGCAGCCAGUUCAUGCACUGAAGAGAGUUUUGAAGGCAGUAACAAACUUUGAACAGACACGUGCAAGUGCAGACAAGAAGAAAGGUGGUGUGAAGCACGGUCAACACCUCUGACACUCAAGAGUCUUCUUGUCACCAACACACAUGCCAGAUCAUAGCUAUGUAUCAGUGAUUUGUAACUAAGUGAUAUUUAAGUUCAAAUUACAGAUAGGUAAGUGACCUUAGCUUUAUCUCGGCAAUGUAAAGAAAGGAUGGGUAUGGUAAGUUCCAUGCAAUAAAGUGUCUAAUUUAUUUUUCCCAAAGCAAAUGUUUGUUAGUUAACACUGUUCUAUUAGUGGUAGAUUUUAAUGUUCUUUUUCCGAAGUUUCAGACUCAUAUCUGAGAUCUUAUUCUGCUGUAGAGCCUUGUGGGUUUUCUCCCCCCAAAAUAUUUGUAUUUGUUGUCAUUUUCAACUCUUUUUAUUUACUUAUGGUUUUUGUUAAAUCUUUUGCUUCUUCAGCCUUUCUGUACUUCCCUAAGGGCACAUAGCCAGUGCUCUUCAAAGACCAUAGGGGUUAACAUCUAUAUUUGAGACCACCCAUACUUAACAGCGCUCUAAAGAAUGGUGAAUCCUGCAGAGUAAAAGGUACCCUCCAGCUCACUGGGAACGGAGAGAUAAGCUAUGACUGUCCUUCGGCAGGUGAAUCCUAAUGUUGUUGCCACCAAGGCAUGGGUUUAGUAAAAACAGGACAACCUAAAACAGAAUUGCCUCUGCUACCCCAGAAUUCAUCUGCAGAAACCAUGUUUGGCUUCUGUUUCCCCUUUCAAAUGAAGCCCGAGUUCUGCUUAUCUGCA